rnacentral:rRNA from 1 species
ACGUUUAGUUGCUAACGCGUGAAGGCGAGCACUCUAGACGAACUGCCGUUGACAAAACGGAGGAAGGUGGGGAUGACGUCAAAUCAUCAUGCCCCUUAUGUUCUGGGCUACACACGUGCUACAAUGGCCGGUACAGACGGACGCAAAGCCGCGAGGCGGAGCAAAUCCGAAAAAGCCGGUCUCAGUUCGGAUUGCAGGCUGCAAUUCGCCUGCAUGAAGUCGGAAUCGCUAGUAAUCGCAGGUCAGCAUACUGCGGUGAAUACGUUCCCGGGCCUU